CCUACGGGUGGCAGCAGUGAGGAAUAUUGGUCAAUGGGCGCUAGCCUGAACCAGCCAAGUAGCGUGAAGGAUGACUGCCCUAUGGGUUGUAAACUUCUUUUGUAUGGGAGUAAAGUGCAGUAUUUAUACUGCUUUGCAUGUACCUUAUGAAUAAGGAUCGGCUAACUCCGUGCCAGCAGCCGCGGUAAUACGGAGGAUCCGAGCGUUAUCCGGAUUUCUUGGGUUUAAAGGGAGCGUAGGCGGGUUGUUAAGUCAGUUGUGAAAGUUUGCGGCUCAACCGUAAAAUUGCAGUUGAUACUGGAAUCCUUGAGUGCAGUAGAGGUAGGCGGAAUUCGUGGUGUAGCGGUGAAAUGCUUAGAUAUCACGAAGAACUCCGAUUGCGAAGGCAGCAUGCCGGACUGUAACUGACGCUGAUGCUCGAAAGUGUGGGGAUCAAACAGGAUUAGAUACCCGGGUAGUC
rnacentral:rRNA from 1 species